AGCGGAGGAAAAGAAACCAACAGGGAUUGCCUCAGUAACGGCGAGUGAAGCGGCAAAAGCUCAAAUUUUAAAGCUGGCACCUUCGGUGUCCGCGUUGUAAUUUUGUGAGGCAUCUCCGGGUAGGGCGCCGGCCUAAGUUCCUUGGAACAGGACGUCAUAGAGGGUGAGAAUCCCGUGCUUGGCUGGCUGUCCCCGUCCAUGUGAGGUGUCUUCGACGAGUCGAGUUGUUUGGGAAUGCAGCUCAAAAUGGGUGGUAAAUUUCAUCUAAAGCUAAAUAUUGGUGGGAGACCGAUAGCGCACAAGUAGAGUGAUCGAAAGAUGAAAAGCACUUUGAAAAUAGAGUUAAAAAGUACGUGAAAUUGUUGAAAGGGAAGCGCUUGAGACCAGACUUCGGUGGGGAGCGAUCAGCUGUCCUUCUGGGCGGUGCACUUGCUCCCCUCCGGGCCAGCAUCGGUUGGGACGGCGGGAUAAAGGUCCCGGGAAUGUGGCUCCUCUCGGGGAGUGUUAUAGCCCGGGUGAAUGCCGCCAGCCCCGACCGAGGACCGCGCCUUCGGGCUAGGAUGCUUGGCAUAAUGGUCUUCAGCGACCCGUCU
rnacentral:rRNA from 1 species